rnacentral:misc_RNA from 1 species
AAAGUCGUAACAAGGUUUCCGUAGGUGAACCUGCGGAAGGAUCAUUAUCGAUUCUCAAUAAGAUGUGCUGGCUCCUCUUCUGAGGAGUACUGUGCACUCUGAACUACUUCAUUCCCCUGUGCACCAUUUUGUAGACGAGGAGGCAAUCCUCGUCUAUGAUUUUAUUAACACACCAAUUAAUGUCAUUUGGGUUCAAUGGAAAUAUAAUACAACUUUCAACAAUGGAUCUCUUGGUUCUC